rnacentral:rRNA from 1 species
CCUACGGGAGACAGCAGUGGGGGAUAUUGCACAAUGGGGGAAACCCUGAUGCAGCGACGCCGCGUGUGGGAAGACGGUCUUCUGGAUUGUAAACCACUGUCCCCAGGGACGAAAAUGACGGUACCUGGGGAGGAAGCUCCGGCUAACUACGUGCCAGCAGCCGCGGUAAUACGUAGGGAGCAAGCGUUGUCCGGAAUUACUGGGUGUAAAGGGAGCGUAGGCGGGGAUGCAAGUUGGGUGUCAAAACUACCGGCUCAACCGAUAGUCGCACUCAAAACGGCAACUCUUGAGUGAAGUAGAGGCAGGCGGAAUUCCUAGUGUAGCGGUGAAAUGCGUAGAUAUUAGGAGGAACACCAGUGGCGAAGGCGGCCUGCUGGGCUUUUACUGACGCUGAGGCUCGAAAGUGUGGGGAGCAAACAGGAUUAGAUACCCUUGUAGUC